UACGUAGGGCGCAAGCGUUGCCCGGAAUUAUUGGGCGUAAAGAGCUCGUAGGCGGUUUGUCGCGUCUGGUGUGAAAACUCGAGGCUCAACCUCGAGCUUGCAUCGGGUACGGGCAGACUAGAGUGCGGUAGGGGAGACUGGAAUUCCUGGUGUAGCGGUGGAAUGCGCAGAUAUCAGGAGGAACACCGGUGGCGAAGGCGGGUCUCUGGGCAGUAACUGACGCUGAGGAGCGAAAGCGUGGGGAGCGAACAGG
rnacentral:rRNA from 1 species